rnacentral:rRNA from 1 species
GAGUUUGAUCCUGGCUCAGAUUGAACGCUGGCGGCAUGCCUUACACAUGCAAGUCGAACGGCAGCACGGGAGCUUGCUCCUGGUGGCGAGUGGCGAACGGGUGAGUAAUGCAUCGGAACGUAUCCUGGAGUGGGGGAUAACGUAGCGAAAGUUACGCUAAUACCGCAUAUUCUGUGAGCAGGAAAGCGGGGGACCUUCGGGCCUCGCGCUCUUGGAGCGGCCGAUGUCGGAUUAGCUAGUUGGUGAGGUAAAGGCUCACCAAGGCGACGAUCCGUAGCAGGUCUGAGAGGAUGAUCUGCCACACUGGAAC